rnacentral:rRNA from 1 species
GAUGAACGCUGGCGGCGUGCCUAAUACAUGCAAGUCGAGCGAACAGACGAGGAGCUUGCUCCUCUGACGUUAGCGGCGGACGGGUGAGUAACACGUGGAUAACCUACCUAUAAGACUGGGAUAACUUCGGGAAACCGGAGCUAAUACCGGAUAAUAUAUUGAACCGCAUGGUUCAAUAGUGAAAGACGGUUUUGCUGUCACUUAUAGAUGGAUCCGCGCCGCAUUAGCUAGUUGGUAAGGUAACGGCUUACCAAGGCAACGAUGCGUAGCCGACCUGAGAGGGUGAUCGGCCACACUGGAACUGAGACACGGUCCAGACUCCUACGGGAGGCAGCAGUAGGGAAUCUUCCGCAAUGGGCGAAAGCGUGACGGAGCAACGCCGCGUGAGUGAUGAAGGUCUUCGGAUCGUAAAACUCUGUUAUUAGGGAAGAACAAAUGUGUAAGUAACUAUGCACGUCUUGACGGUACCUAAUCAGAAAGCCACGGCUAACUCCGUG